AACACUGUUCGGGUCCCUUGGAAUUUUUUACUUGCCUUUGACAUGAACUUCACUGACAAACAGCAGCUGACAGAGGAGGGAAACUCCAGCUUGAUUAACUAAGUCCUACGUAGCCUAUUGCUUCUACUGACACAGUUACACACACCUGUUUGAUCUCUGACUGUGGACUGUGUGUGCACUCAAGAACAUUUCUACUGAAGAAACAUCUGAUUCUCCCCUGCGGCUCCAUAUUUCCCAGACCUUUUCACGCUUUAUGAGUCCUAUUGUUGCAAAAGACUGGCGUAUAUCCUUUCACCUGCGUCCAGCCUCUUUCUCUUGCCUGGGAGAGAGACAGCUAGAAAUCUGCAUCUGAUUACCUAAACAAAAAGAUCUAUUUGUUUGUGUUGUAGGUUUAUUUAAAGGUGCAGUCAGCGAUUGUACACGAUUUCAAGCCCAUACAAAUUUGUUUCACGUUCAGCAAUUAUCUCCUCACGAUCCGCUAGCUUCCCAUUCCAUGAGUACACUGUAAAAAAAACAGUCUCUGUGGGUAGCCCUGGCAACGAAAACUGAAAACAAACAAAGUGUCCCCCAAACAAAAACAAAACCAUGCUUGGAGUUUCUCUGGGAACACUGAAGGAAGGGGUGAGCCCCCUCUCUGGUGUGUUUCGUUUAGUCUUUUUUAGUAAAAUAUAAGUUGUUUUGGACAAAAGCAUCUGCUAAUAAAUUUAAAUAUUAACAUAAACAUAAACACGACUUCCUGCGCAAUCGCUGACUGUACCUUUAAGUGUGUGGAUGGGCAUUGAGUCUAAACCACUGAUAUUUAUCAGCUCCUGUAUUUCCCAAUGUAUUUUCUACCAUGUACUGCUGGGUUGACACCAUUGGCCGAACCAAAUUCCUUGCGUGGGCUAGCACCUCGAAUUCUGAUUCUGAGUCUGCCUGUGUCACCAUGGAUAAAUUGUUAACUGUCACUGUAAUGGCUGAAUUGCUAUACAUUAAACUGAAUGAAGAUGUUUCUCAAA